GAUGAACGCUGGCGGCGUGCCUAAUACAUGCAAGUCGAGCGAACAGACGAGGAGCUUGCUCCUUUGACGUUAGCGGCGGACGGGUGAGUAACACGUGGGUAACCUACCUAUAAGACUGGGAUAACUUCGGGAAACCGGAGCUAAUACCGGAUAAUAUUUCGAACCGCAUGGUUCGAUAGUGAAAGAUGGCUUUGCUAUCACUUAUAGAUGGACCUGCGCCGUAUUAGCUAGUUGGUAAGGUAACGGCUUACCAAGGCAACGAUACGUAGCCGACCUGAGAGGGUGAUCGGCCACACUGGAACUGAGACACGGUCCAGACUCCUACGGGAGGCAGCAGUAGGGAAUCUUCCGCAAUGGGCGAAAGCCUGACGGAGCAACGCCGCGUGAGUGAUGAAGGUCUUCGGAUCGUAAAACUCUGUUAUUAGGGAAGAACAAACGUGUAGGUAACUGUGCACGUCUUGACGGUACCUAAUCAGAAAGCCACGGCUAACUACGUG
rnacentral:rRNA from 1 species